UUUGUAGGUGAACAUUUCCCAGCCAUCUGCUGGGGUUGACUGUGGUGCCUUGACCCGGUGUGGAGGCUAGGUAACCCAAGGACACCCGUCUGCAGCAGAAGGCCAGUUAUCAGGAGCAGUCCUCAGACACACUGCUCGUCGCCAUGGCAAAGUGCUUCCACCUUCGCUCGGUCCUCCUCAGAAGAAUGCCUGGUUUGCCGUGGAUCUCUGGGAUUCAGGGCGGCUGCAUCCGUGCCUGCGGCUGGAACAGUCAGGCCAGAAUCCUCCACUCUCAAUCAGUUUCCUACUCUGAUUCUAAAGUCAACAGUUUGCCAGUAGACAAAGUCACGAUUCACUUUGUUAACCAAGAUGGUAUCAAAACAACCACAGCGGUAAACGAAGGGCAAUCUCUGUUGGAUGUCGUUGUCAACAAAAACGUGGAUAUUAGUGGGUUUGGCGCGUGUGAGGGCACGCUCGCGUGCUCCACCUGCCACCUCGUUUUUGAAAAGAAGAUUCACGAGAAGAUGGAGCCGAUGGUGGAUGAGGAGAUGGACAUGUUAGAUUUAGCCUAUGGUCUCACCAAGACGUAUGUUUCCUGACAGUUUGACAUUUUUUCAUACAGUUUUCCUCAUGCUGAGUACGUGCUUCAGAAUUCUUAACACUCAUGACUAGGUCUCGUCUCGGGUGUCAGGUGACGGUUCAGCGGUGGAUGGACGGGAUGACGGUGUAUGUGCCUCGAGAGAUGAGGAACGCUCUGGGAUCCAAGGACAGCUCGUGAAGCACCGUGAACUGUUUUCUUUUGUUGUUUUUUUUACUUAUUUUUUCUUGGUCUCAUUUUAAUAAACGGUUCUUGUCACUGUG